AUAGUUUGUAGGAAGAAAAUGUCCACUGUUUUUUUUUCUGUUUUUUUU
rnacentral:sRNA from 1 species